CUGCAAAGUUCACUUGGUUUGCUUAAAACAUAACCCAAAAACACAAAAAAACCAUUAGGCGCAUUGAGGACACAUCACAUCUCUCCCACAAGCGUUCAGCAUACUGCAAGAUCCGCCCGGUCUGCUUUCGAUAUUAACUAUCAUCUAACAACCCCCUCACUGUACGUAUAAGAUUUCCAGAUUUCUGCAGCAAUUUUUUUUAAGAGCUACGCGUGCCUACAAGGCUAAAUGCAUAACAAAAUUCUUAACUGGGACUUUUUUGCAUCCACGCAGUCUAAUCUGGCACAAGCUGAAUGCCACCUGUAUCAAAUCAUAUACCUCUGCAAGUCAGUUCUAGAAUUCACUUUCAUCACUCGCAAUCUAUGAUAGGACAUGGCAACAGAUUAUUCCUCGAUACGAGAGGAAGAGAAAAAAAAUCCAGGCAGCUUGGAAGAAAAGGCCAGUUACCUAUUGUUCACUGAAGCAAUCAAAUCAUGCAGAUAGAAGAAUAAAAAGUCAUGCUGGCUUGAUUACUAUACAUGGAUCCUCGAUCAACAGCAACCAUAUAUAUGAAAGCACAAGCACCAAAAACAUAAAAACACAGCCCAGAUUGCACUUGCAGUAAAUAGAUGGUACGGUGCCUCUUUAAGCAGCUGCUUCGGCCUGUUGGAAAAUGCAACGUGUACAUGCCAUCAACAACCUCAGAUAAAAAUAUAGCAUGAUCCAUGACCU
rnacentral:lncRNA from 1 species